UAAUGAACCAGAAUAUACAAUAUACAAUACAAUAAAUGUAUUUAGUAAAUGUAAAUUAAGUAAAUUACUGAAGUAAACAUUUUUAAUUUCUAAAAGUGGCAAGAUAUAAAGAGAAAUAUCUAACAAUGUCUUCAGUCAUACCAAAUAUAUUUCAUGAAUUGGGCUAAUGUUUUGAUAUUUUCCACGAGUGCACAGCACGAGUGAAAAAUAUUAAAAUAUCAGCCACACAAGUAAAAUAUAUCUGGUAUUAGAUCUACUGAAGAUCAUUUUAGAUAUUCUAUUAUUUUUUUUAUAGCAAAAAAUAACUGGGUCAUCAUUUAAUUUCAUCCGUUGUCAUUUGUAAGCAGUGUUUUGGUUGGUCAAAUCAGAAAAAGUGAUAUUUUUCACAGGUGAAAAAUAUCACUUUUAUAGGAUGUAUAUAAUUUUCUAUAUUUCACUGGUAAAAAUGUAAGUCAAGGUUUUUUGUAUUAAUAUUGCUUUCUUAUUAAUGCCAGCUACUUGUCACAUUCAAUUUAUAAGUUAUUUGAAGUGAUAGUUUGACCUAUAUUAUUAUUAAAUUGUUGAUAAUUUGUGUGCAGUACAUUUUGGUACUACAGGACAGAGGCUAUUUUGUGUGAUGAUUAAAAAAGGUUGAUAAUUUUUGCGCAGUACAUUUUAGUACUACCGGCCAGAGACUAUUUUGUACGAUGAUUAUAAAAGGUUGAUAGUUUAAUUUGUGUGUGGUAUAUUUUGGCACUGCAGGACAGAGGUGUGUGAUGACUGUAAAUGGUUGAUAAUUUGUACACAGUACAUUUUGGUACUACAUAUGACAGAGGCUAUUUUGUAUGAUGAUUAUAAAAGGUUGAUAAUUUGUGUGUGGUACAUUUUGGUAUGUCAGGACAGAGCCUAUUUUGUGUGAUGAUUAUAAACGGUUGAUAAUUUGUCUGCAGUACAUUUGGUACUUAAGGACAGAGCCUAUUUUGUGCAAUGAUUAUAAAUGGUUGAUAAUUUGUGUGGUACAUUUCGGUACCAUGUGACAGAGGCUAUUUUGUAUGGUUAUAUAAAUUAUGAUUUAUGCACUAUGUUUAUGUAAUGAAUGGUUGAUUUUAUUUACAUCACACAAAAUAUAAACAGUUUAUUCAGAUAACAGAAUCAGAUUUACCUGUAUUUUACAAAACACAGAGAAUGAUUAUCACAGUGAUAUUGAAGUUUGUAUAUUGUACACUAGUGAUCAUUUUGCUACUGGUAUUUUUAUAUCAUAGAAUAAUUAAUAUUUCUAAUUUUUUUUUUUUCAAAUGUACCAUACUUUUAUCAUUCCCCCCAGAAUGCUUUGUUGAUCAACUUUUGUAUUAGUAAGUGUAAUGACAAGGCAUGAAUCUGUAAUUAUGAAGAAUUAUAUAUGGUGACAAGUCCUGGGGACACAAUUGAGAUCCCAGUCUUUACACCUUGUAUAUAUACAAUAUGGCUUAACAUUAGCAGAUCUAUAAACUUAUGCUAUGGCUAUGUAUAUAAGGAUAGGCUAUUAGUUGAGGCUAAGGCUAUCUAUAUUCAAUGGGAGUUUCUUUUUGUAUUUCUCUAUCUCGUGGUAAUGGUAGAGUUCUCUAUAAUUGACUGUAUAUUUGGUGGGAUUAUUUUUGACAAUUUACAUGUUACACUUAUUCAAGAUAACGCAUAAAAUUUGAAAAUCUUAUACAUCAAUUGUACUACUCUUGUGUGGUCUAAAAUAACCAGUCAACCCGGAGAAAUCAUGAGUUGGCAACACAGCAAACAUCUCAAAACAAAUCUUCUGAUUGACCAAAAGGCCUAAAUCAAGAUUUUUGGCUGGAAGGUUCCUAUGAUGACACCCUACCAAGCUUGUGAUUUUAUAUGACCUUGACCCAUACUCAAUGUUACAGGUGUCAACCGUGUUAAAAUACAUUUUUAAUCAAGCAUGAGAACACCAGAUGCUUACUAUAGGACAUUGGUAUGCUGUUAUUUUUAUUCAAAUGAUUUAGUUAUAUUAAAUGACUCCAAAGUCUAAUACUUAAAAGUCUCUGUUCAAGUUGGUGCUACAGAAAUGCAGCUUAAAUUUGUUGGUAGAAGCAAAAGUGAUAAUUGAUUACAACAGGCUUUGGUCAGGUUCUUAGUGUGUCCAUGCAGGGAAAAGGACCAAAUAGUUCACCACUACAAAUGUGUUGCCUUGUUUAACCAUGAUUUAAUUUAGUAACAAAUUAAUUUUUGUCAAUUUACUCAUCUUCUACUUGUACAUUUGUAAUUGUGAAACUCAAAAUAUUUGCAUCUAUUUAAAUGGAAGUUGUCCUAUAAUAUCUCUACUACUUACAUUUCCUAGCCCCCUAUGGUUAUGGUGCAAGUAUUUGGAAGGAAAAAUGAAAUAAGACAAAUAAAGAACAAAACAUCAA